GAUGAACGCUGGCGGCGUGCCUAAUACAUGCAAGUCGAGCGAACGGACGAGAAGCUUGCUUCUCUGAUGUUAGCGGCGGACGGGUGAGUAACACGUGGAUAACCUGCCUAUAAGACUGGGAUAACUUCGGGAAACCGGAGCUAAUACCGGAUAAUAUUUUGAACCGCAUGGUUCAAAAGUGAAAGACGGUCUUGCUGUCACUUAUAGAUGGAUCCGCGCUGCAUUAGCUAGUUGGUAAGGUAACGGCUUACCAAGGCAACGAUGCAUAGCCGACCUGAGAGGGUGGUCGGCCACACUGGAACUGAGACACGGUCCAGACUCCUACGGGAGGCAGCAGUAGGGAAUCUUCCGCAAUGGGCGAAAGCCUGACGGAGCAACGCCGCGUGAGUGAUGAAGGUCUUCGGAUCGUAAAACUCUGUUAUUAGGGAAGAACAUAUGUGUAAGUAACUGUGCACAUCUUGACGGUACCUAAUCAGAAAGCCACGGCUAACUACGUG
rnacentral:rRNA from 1 species